CCGAGGAGCGGCGCGCGCUCUCGGCUGCCCCGUGGAAGCGGGGGCGCGCCUCAGGGGCGGCGGGGUGGGGCUUGUUUUUGUCCCUCGAGGAGUUUUAAACCCCUGAAAUGAAGCAGGUGUCUCGAGAAAGGAAAAGCAUCCAGAUUCUAUAGUUUGCACUGGGAGCUUGAUGAAUCCAGCCCUGGGGAUGCUUUCUGCUUAAUGACUUCCAAAAUCCCCUUCAGUUCCCCUGGGCUUGGCUGGGACACUCCUUCCUCCAAAUCUGAAAACUGAAACUGCAACUACUAUGAAAUGAACACACCCAGAUUACCUGCUAAUCCAGCAACAAUAUUACAUUUUGAAUAAUAAACAAGAAAAAUGUAUUUAUUCCAAAUAUAGAUGCUCUUUGAUGGGAGAUGGAGGCUGUCAUCCAAAGAAAAGCUUGAACAAAAUAACUGGAACUUCACAGCAAGUAUAAAUUGUCCUUUAUCAGAAGUUGCUGCUCUCAAAGGGAUUGCAAGAACAUUUGUUGGCAACCACUUCGCAACCACUGCCUAGAGGCCACCAUGGCUUAUGUUUUUAUAUCACUUUUCACAGCUUGUAGCACUUCACAAUGGCUUCCUGAAAGCACUCCGGGCUUCAAUUUUCAAAAGAAAAAAUUUGUAGCACAUCUCCCAGAAAUAUCCUCUUGAAUUUUUUUAAAGAAAGUGUUGGGAGAGAGUAUUCGGCCAACAAUUUCUGUCCAAGUAACUUACCCACCCGGGCCUGAGGAAUUCUUAGCUGCCAAAUCUCACACUUCCUGUCUAUGCAUGGUGGGCGCCCAUUUCUAUCUCUUGGCUCCACAGUAACUGUCAUGAUGAGUCUGCCUUUUGAUAUCGUAGUCUGAAAGAGAUGACUAAUUUUUUC
rnacentral:lncRNA from 1 species